AAUGUUGACCUCGGAUCAGGUAGGAAUACCCGCUGAACUUACAACAGGGAUUGCCCUAGUAACGGCGAGUGAAGCGGCAACAGCUCAAAUUUGAAAUCUGGCUCUCGGGCCCGAGUUGUAAUUUGUAGAGGAUACUUUUGAUGCGGUGCCUUCCGAGUUCCCUGGAACGGGACGCCAUAGAGGGUGAGAGCCCCGUCUGGUUGGAUGCCAAAUCUCUGUAAAGUUCCUUCGACGAGUCGAGUAGUUUGGGAAUGCUGCUCUAAAUGGGAGGUAUAUGUCUUCUAAAGCUAAAUACCGGCCAGAGACCGAUAGCGCACAAGUAGAGUGAUCGAAAGAUGAAAAGCACUUUGAAAAGAGGGUUAAAUAGCACGUGAAAUUGUUGAAAGGGAAGCGUUUGCGACCAGACCUUUUCCUAGCGGAUCAACCGGUGUUCUCACCGGUGCACUUCGCUAGGUUUAGGCCAGCAUCGGUUUCUGUAGGGGGAUAAAAGCUCUGGGAACGUAGCUCCUCCGGGAGUGUUAUAGCCCUCUGCAUAAUACCCUUACGGGGACCGAGGACCGCGCUUCGGCAAGGAUGCUGGCGUAAUGGUCGUCAACGA
rnacentral:rRNA from 1 species